rnacentral:sRNA from 1 species
GUCGUGAGAUGUUGGGUUAAGUCCCGCAACGAGCGCAACCCUCGUUCUAUGUUGCCAGCGAGUAAUGUCGGGGACUCAUAGGAGACUGCCGGGGUCAACUCGGAGGAAGGUGGGGAUGACGUCAAGUCAUCAUGCCCCUUAUGUCCAGGGCUGCACACAUGCUACAAUGGCCGGUACAAAGAGCUGCGAUGCCGCAAGGUGGAGCGAAUCUCAUAAAGCCGGUCUCAGUUCGGAUUGGGGUCUGCAACUCGACCCCAUGAAGUCGGAGUCGCUAGUAAUCGCAGAUCAGCAACGCUGCGGUGAAUACGUUCCCGGGCCUUGUACACACCGCCCGUCACGUCACGAAAGUCGGUAACACCCGAAGCCGGUGGCCCAACCCUUGUGGAGGGAGCCGUCGAAGGUGGGAUCGGCGAUUGGGACGAAGUCGUAACAAGGUAGCCGUACCGGAAGGUGCGGCUGGAUCACCUCCUUUCUAAGGAGCAUCUGGCAGCGUUCGCGCUGUCCAGGCCCAUUUGGUGGAUGUUCAAGCCACCGUGGUGCUCAAGGGUGGAACACUAACUAGUUCGCGUGAUGCGGACGCCGGCGAGGAAAGUACGGUCGCUUGCGACACGGAAAUCUCCGCCGCGUCAGCUGAAGGCGUAGGCACGCUGUUGAGUCCUGAGGGAGCGGAAUUGACCCUCAGGCGCAUUGGCAUGUCGAUUCGGUUUCGCUCGCGAGAGCUCGACCGAACGGCGCGCCAGAGCGCAGGUCUGGCACAUCGAUGACCGUACGGCGCCGCUUGGCGUACGCGGUAGAGCGUUGAUGUUGUCGCCUGUACCUUGAGAACUGCACAGUGGACGCGAGCAUCUUUGUGGCCAAGUUAAUAAGGGCGCACGGUGGAUGCCUUGGCACCAGGAGCCGAAGAAGGACGUAGGGGGCUGCGAUAAGCCUCGGGGAGCUGCCGACCGAGCUGUGAUCCGAGGAUUU